rnacentral:lncRNA from 1 species
GCAGUACAAUCGUGAGUUGCACAUGUAUGACUUUGACCACUUAAAAACCUGCAAACUCUGUUCAAACCGCUGAAAAUACAUGUUAAAGGUACUUCAUCACAGAACUGCGGUUGUACUAUUGUUCCAGGUAUCAUAUGGACUGCUUGACACCAUCGUUAAACGCAGGCCCUGAAGGCGACUGGAUUUGUGCUGAGUGUGCAGUCACUCCUCAGCAUUCAGACGGCUCCAUGUUGGAGGGGGACAUCAGUGAUGGAGAACUAACAGACCUCCUCGUCGAAGUAGAUGAAACUGCAUCUACCAGCAGUCGCCUUCGGCCCUCCACCCUAAAUCGUCCCAGCAGCUCCACUGAGCGACGACACAGCCAGAGGAUCCAGAGCAGCUCCAGCGCCAAUCCUCCACCUGUGCCCCAAACCUCCUGGCAUGUACCUAAAUACCUCUUACGGGCAUCGAAGCCUGCAGUCCCAACAGAGGAAGCUGCUGCACUUCAUCACAGUGAUACCAGCGGAGCUUCAGUCAGGUUAAAGACUAGAAAAAGACGGAAGCGUGCAACUUGAGCUCCUGACGAGAUCGUGUGCAGCAUCCCUGCCUGAUAAAGGUGCUACUGUCAAAGAUAUCCACACGGUGGCAGCAUUGUGUUAUAAACAUAAACGUUAUGUGAAACAUCGGACCAGAACCUGACUGCUGGGGCUUUUUUGUUUCAUUUUAACAGUGACGGUGUUUGCUAUCCUUCAGGCAAGGCAAGUUUAUUCAUAUAGCACAUUCAGAGUGCGUUACAUAAAACAUCCAAAGCAUUGAGACAAAGUUAAAAAGAAACACACAACAAAAGGACAUUGAAGAGCCAGAAAUAUUAAAAGAAGCUCAAGUAGAAUAAGAAAGGUACAACAUACAGUUUAAUAAAAGGCUGUGGCAACAGAAA